UACGAGAAACCAAUCCAAAUUGUAAAAAACCCAUCUUGCUAAAAUAAUGAAAAGUAAAAAUAAUGCAAACCCAGAUAGGAGACAACUAGAAGCAUAAAGUGAGGUGAGUUAAGCAUCAUUUUAAAUAAUUCCUAAAAAGAAUAAAAAUAAAAUUGCAGCAUAUAUAUGUACAUAAGACAGUGUCUUUAAACCAUCGAUGACGAACCAAAAACCUCUUGAACUUCAACUUGCUCUACACUUUCUUCAAAUAUAGGUUCUUCGGAUUUCAAAUUUUGAUCUGUUAAAAUAACAAAUUUAUGCGAGUUUAGUAUCAAAGAAUAAAUAACUAAAGAAGAAAAUAAACACUUUAAAGGGAAAAUGAACAGAUAAUACCUUAAAUUAUCGAAUGCACAGAUAGAUAACCAUAUUCAUGAGAAGUAAGUUGACUAGCCAAAGAAGUGAUAAGUUCAAUUAAAUUCUAGCCAAGUACCAGACUAACUUAUACCAAAUUACCUAAUCAUUAUUGGACCCAAAAUAUACUUUUUCACCUUUUCAAAAUUUUUCCCAAAACAAAACCAAAACAAACGUCAUGAAUCUUAACCAAUGUUCCUAGAUACCAAUUGGCAAUCUGCCACCAGCUUACAAAAAAAUGAACUAGUACUUAUUAAAGGGAGAACAAUGACCAAACAUUUAAGAAAAGAAAACCUUAAGUCUGUAUGCAAGAUGGCUAGUGUAACAUGUCUUUCACCACAGUGCGUAAUUUUUUAAUUUAUGAUUAUACGACUGGAGGACUCCGUAUAGCAUUCUAAGUUUCAAGUCUUGAAUCCAUAUUCUUUAAAAGUGUGGAGAUAUUAGAUAGAAUAGCAGAUUCUCCAUUUCUUUCCAACUAAUGUCUUCUCAACUAUGGAAGAAGGUCUCAAUAAUAGCUUAAAAUCUUUUAAACUCUUGUCCAAGGUAUGAAAUAUAUAUGACAUUUUAAAUGCCGAAGAUUGUAUCAAGGCCAUGAAGAGGUUAAUUGUCAUUUGAUUACAAAGAUUACUAGCAGUAACAUGCAAAGAGAUAAAGAAAUUACCAGAAGAGCAAUUUGAAGCUACUCAUAGUAGAUCAAGAAAAGAAACCAAAAGCUCCAAUUUUUACAAAGAGAAAAUAAUAACUAAAAAAUCAUAAUCAUAACAAUAAUAGUUAUAAUAGUUGUAGCAUUUUACUAGUAACCAUAAUAACACUAAUUAUAACAACAACAUACUAACCAACAAAGCUCGUGAUUUUAUCAUCAAGAAACAAACAGAGAGAAAUAAAAAGAAGGCAACAAUUCAAAUGGAAAUAAAGCUAGAAGCUAAAGCAGAAAAUUAUAGAAAAGAACAAAGAAAAGUAGAGUACCCUUUAGUUAUUUCAAGAAAAUUGCAGGCUCAGAGCUUAAGUGAUAUGACAGGAUUGUUCUGCUUUGUGGGUAUUCUAGUUUCUACUAAAAAUGGUGAGGUAGAAAGAGAGAUAAUAAUAAGUGUAACAGGAAAGAAAUAGAGAUAAGAUCAUUGGAGAGAGAGAGAGAGAGGCGCAACGUCAGAUAAAAAAAAAGGAGCAGACAGCGACACAUUACUUUAGCAGACAGCAGCAUAUAUCUAAUGUAAAAUCUCUCCAAAAGUCCUUUAUCUCCUGGUAUGUACGCAAGCACAAGUGCACCAUGUACAUAAUAUUUGAAACUUCAUUCUUGCUUAAAUUCACUUGUUUCAUUAACUAUGUUUUUAUUUAUUCAUAAAUGUUAAUGACAUAAAGAAAAAAUUCACAUGAGCGUUGUAAUAUUUUCAUCAUAGAGUAAAAUAGGAUUUUCAAUUACUAACCUGUUAAAUGAUUCAAUCUAUGGAUCAGUUGAAGAUGUUGAUGAAGGCUGAUCAAACACUAUCAUUGCUCUUAUCUUGGUAUAGAAACUAAAGAAUGCUCUAUCUUUUAUUUGUUCUCUUAAGGCAAUACACUCCAUCUCUAUAACUUCUAACAGAGAAAACUCUCUAUAUACACUAUCCCUUGGCAAAAGAUCAUAACUAGACAAUACAGAAAACUAUUGUAAGAGUAAAUGUAGCAACAUAAAAAAUAUCUAAAAUCUAGUCAAUAUACAACUAUAACGAAAGUAUUAUUGUUAUCUAUUAGAAGAGAGGAAUCUAAAGGCAAUGACAUCCAUAAGGAAUAAUAAUUUUUAUUGAUACACCAUCAGCAACAUACCCAGUGUAAUCCCACAAGUAGAGCCUGAAGAGGGUAAAGUGUAUGCAUACCUUAUACCUGCCUUUAAGAAGAUAGAUAGGCAGUUUCCGGUAGACCCUCUGCUCAGGAAGGAAAAAAUGGAGGGGCAAUAACAAGCAAACCGAUUUGACACCGAAGCAAAAAUACAAAACUAGCAAUAGGUAAUGCAAUCAGAAAAUCGAAAUAAAAGAUAACGGCAAGUAGUAACACGAGAAUAGAUACAUUAUAAUAUUCUCAAGUUAAGUUGUUCCAAAUCUUAAUGAGUAGCUCGUCUUGAGAAUCAGGGGCUUGUAAUAAAAUGAACAACAAUAUGGUUGUAGAUGCAGGACUUUAUCAGGGUAAUUUUAAAAAGGACUUCUUAAUUUAUACAGUUCCAGAUGUUAAAGCAAAAUUCAGCAUCAAAUAUUCUUCAUAAUACCUUUCUCUAUUUGUGCAGCAUGCAUGCCCAUACUACUUUCAAUUUCAACUUAAACUUUGCAUGGACAGGCAAAAUAAAGACGAAUAUACUUUGUAGUCUGGGUAACUAAAUAUAUUUUAAUUUUUUUUAUUUUGCUAAAGGUAAAGGCAAUUUAUUAGAGCUAGUAGCAAGAAGGUACUACAAAACACAUAAACUUUUACAUAAUACUUUAACUCUUUUCUGUAACAUAUCAGGUAAAUCUAGGUAUAAUCAACACUAUCCUAUAUCAAACUAUAGCUUUGUCUUAGAAACAUUUAAUUCAAACAUUUAUCAGCUACAAAUGCCAAUAAUUCACCUCAAUUGAAUAUUCAAAUUAAAGGAAAGGAAAGGCAAAUUAUUAGGAAAAAUGAGCUCAAAGCAUGAGGAAUAAUAUUAAAUUCUAAACUACCCCUUAUUAGUAGUGCUUCUGCAAUCUUCAUUUUAAACAAAUAUGAUACAGAUAUACUGUACAACUGAAGAGAAAGAAUACUAUAGAAGGAAGCAUGUGAUAAAAAGGAUUGGAGGAUUUAAGGUUUAACAAAAUACUUCACCUGAAGCUUAACUUUUAUGUCCAAAACCAUAUGUUCUUUACUGAUACACCACGCACCAAUAUUUUAAGUAAAAAGUACAUUCUUAAUAUUCAUACAACAAGACGUGAUUUUCUAAUUGUUUCAACAUCUGAUAGCACAUAGCACGUGAACAAAGUCAUCACUUACUUCAAGUUCUCUGUUAACAUGAUUCUUAAAACUAAGGGACUCUAAAUAUGGAGUCUAACUCAUGAUGUAGUACUUAAAGCAACACAAAUAAGGUCAAACCAAACUCCAAUUAGCAGAAUUAUCAGUAUAGCUUCACUUAUAUGUCAUCAUGUUGGUAAUAAAUCUUAUCCAUGACUGUUUAGCAAUUCAGUGAAAUGGUAUAUUUUUAAACUCUUUGGAGUAAACGAACAGAAAAGCUUAUCAUUAAUUUUAUUAAAAUCCAAUGGAAACACAUAGGUCACAGAAAAACUUUUCCAAAACUAAAUGCAAACAAACCCUGUAAAUUCUGCUUAAGAUAUAACUUUGUUAUUUUUCCUUUACUCUUUCUCUUUUAUAAGCUAUAGAAUAGUUAAUUAGACCAUAACUAUGAUACACAUACAUAUCGACAUGGUUUUUAAUGAAAGUGAAUUUCUCCUAAUUUUGCUUCAAAAAUAAUUAAUAAUUUUGAAGACCAUAAUUUAGACUUCUCAUACAAUAAUAGUCUUGCUCAACAAAAGUAGAAGAAAUAGGGAUGCUAAAACGGAAACAACAGAAAAACUGAAUGUAAUUCAAAAUCAAACCCAGUUCAAAAAUAAUCUGCUCUAUAAGAGAAUACACACAGUUGACAUAUAAUGAGCAAUAUUCAAUAAAUAAAUAAAUAAAAGCAACUCCUGUACAUUCAUCAGCAAUGUUAAAAUCUGAAUAUAAUUAUAAAAUUAUAGUACAUGUAAUUAUAAAAAAAAUCAAUACAUGAAAAAUAAAGAGAUAAUUGGAGUAUAAAAAAGGUACCCAAUUUCACAAUAGUACUACAAGAUUAGAGCUUACCUUGAGAAGAAGAAGAAUGAAACCCUAGGUUGUAGAGAGGAACACAAGGCUUGAUGCUUCACAGAGUUUCAACUGCUCAAUUUCACUUAUACCCUAGCUUUGUAAUUCCUAUGAUUAAAAAAAAAAAAAAAGUGGGAAAAUUAUGGGUUUGGGCAAAAAAAGAGGGAAAAGUGGCGUGAGUGGGCUGAUGUUGGGCAAAAGAUAGGGAAACGUUAGCGUUAUUUUUUUUUUUUUUAACGACAGGAUUUAUGAAUUUUAAGGACCGAAUAUUUUUUCUUUGUUAAUAUUAAACUAAAAAUUAAUUUUAACGACCGGAAAAAAAAUGUGAUCGCUAUUGAUAUACCUAUAACGACCGAAUUCAUGUCCCUUCGUAAAAAACUGGUCGUUAAAAGUCAAAAUUCUUGUAGUGUAAAAAUACUGUUUCCGAAAGACCCUCGGCUCAAGAACGUAAAAAAAUGGAGCAUUAGAGAAACAAUAGCAGCAACAAUGAAAUAGAGAAUGCAUAUAGCUUGCGGGCAAAGAAAAACCAACAAAAUUUAUGAAAUUUUAAUCUUUUAAGUUACUAACCUAAACUCUAGCAACUUGAUACACGAGCUAGAUCUCUUGUUCUUUAGUCUUAUUCUUUCAAAUGCAAAGAUGCGUCAUUGUAAUGUGUCUCGUUCCAACAGGUUUCACAUUUGCUAGUGUAUGAAUAAAUUAAAGCAUGACCGAUGCUCUUUAAUUAUCA
rnacentral:lncRNA from 1 species